AUUAUUUUUUUUUAAAAAGAAAUAUUAAUAUGAAGUUUUGCAAUUUGCCCUUACAAAACUCUCGUAAUUGUGCUUGCAAUUAUUAAUUUCAUAAUUCAAUAUUCAUCUUGGAAAUUGUGAAUUACAAAUUCAGAUUUGUUUUUACUCUUUUUUGUUUUCUUCCGUAAACAUCCUCCCCACAUUAAUGGAGAACACAUCCCCAGUACCGCCUGCAACCAUGUUUAUUCCGGCAACCCCAACUACACCUGUGCCUAGUCCUACACCUUUGCAGGUCCCACCUUCUGGUUUGCAGCCGGUCCCAGCUUCCCCUGCGCAAAGUAAUACACUUUUGCAGCACCCCGCCGGCAACCACCGUCCCCUACCUUCCGGUUCGCAGUCGGCCUCCGGGUUUGGCACACCACCCACCUUCACGUGGCAGUCGGCUACUACCAUGCCCCGCCGUCUCUUUGAGGCUAGCCACGCUGAUGCAGCGGCAGGCAUCCUGGGCUCCAUGAGCUUUGGUUCGAACGGAGGAGAUUAUGGCAACUCUGGCUUUUCUAAUCAACCUCACGCACAGGCUCACACGCGAUCAUCUUUUGGUGGACCCACAUUCAUGGGCAGUCAGGGACUGUCACCUCCCAUUUCAACGCCGAUUGGUUUCGGUCCUCCCCCCAGAUUUUAUCCUUACGGCCCGAACUUAUCUCAAUUGUCUGGAAAUUUGGUAACUUCGACAUCUAAUGUUAAAAAUAUAGUUACUAUUGUUCUUACUACUGUUGAAAAUUAUUUACCAUGGCGUACGCAGUUUGAAUAUUUUUUGGUUUCUUGAUGGCUCUAUUACUAUGCCUAAUAUGUUUGUGAUUGAUAAUCAAAACCACCAAUCUAUGAAUCCGGACUAUUAUCAUUGGUUAAGAAUAGGUCAAAACUAUACAUUGUUAGUUAUUUGCAACUUUGUCUCAAGAUAUUCUUGUUGAGGUGCAUGAAGUUAAGUUUUCGCAUUUGCUUUGGGAGAUACUUCAAUCUCGUUUUAUGCAUGCUAGUAUGGCCCGUAUCUCAGUCUAUGGAGUCAUAUUUGCGUGAAGUGAAAAUUCUAGUUGAUUCUCUGGCUGCGAUUAACUCUCCAGUUUCUACUCAUGACUUGAUUUUGCACAUUGUGAUGGGUCUUGGUCAAGAUUAUGAUGCAGUCAGUUUAUACAUUUUACUGGUAACCUUACCUUACUGACGUUCGUCGGGCGUUGUUAAAUCAAGAACAACUUAUCAAGGGUCGUUAGGCUAGGGAACAAGGUUUUCCCACGCAUCAGACAUUCUUGGCAAGUACUCAUUAUGCCUCGAAUAGGUUUGACAACAACUCCACUUCUCUACUGCACGAAACAAUUCUGAGGGAUCCCAAAACAACAAUGGGGGUCGUGGGGGUGGCAAAGGUCGUGGAAAAGGCCGUGGUGGUCGUGGAAAAGGACGUGGUGGGGUUGCAAACCAAACACAAGCCUAAACAUAAAAUUCAGGAGGGAAUUCUAAUGUAGAGGGUGUGUUUGGUCCUAGUCCCACAAAUAUAGUCUGUCAAAUAUGUUUCCACCCAGGUCAUUCCGCAAUUUCCUACCCAUCUCAUUAUUCUCAGAAUUCGAAUGCGGCUCUUGCUAGUCUUCCCACAUGAGAGCAUUAUGAAACUACUUGGUUUCCUGAUUCCGGAGCAUCUUCUCACAUGACUAACGACCUAGGACAACCAAACGGGGGAAGUGCUUCCGAAAGCUUCUAGUCAAGGCAGUGUCUAUCCCAUCACCCUCACCAACCAACCUAGGAGGCCAGUUGCACUUGCGUCAAUCACAACUCCAAGUCCUACAUGGUAUCUUCGUCUUGGUCAUUGUGGUGAUAGAGUAAUAGGUGCUGUUAAGAGCAAUAAGGCAAUUGUUUGUGCCAAUAGUCAUGCAUUUGAUUGUGUUUCAUGUUGCUUAGGAAAGUCUCAUAGGCUAUCUUUCCAGGAUGUAAUACACUCGUUUGAUAAACCUUUGCAAUUAAUUCAUUCUGAUUUGUGGCAAUCGCCUAUU